rnacentral:rRNA from 1 species
GAUGAACGCUGGCGGCGUGCCUAAUACAUGCAAGUAGAACGCUGAAGCUUGGUGCUUGCACCGAGCGGAUGAGUUGCGAACGGGUGAGUAACGCGUAGGUAACCUGCCUCUUAGCGGGGGAUAACUAUUGGAAACGAUAGCUAAUACCGCAUAAAAGUCGAUAUCGCAUGAUAUUGAUUUGAAAGGUGCAAAUGCAUCACUAAGAGGUGGACCUGCGUUGUAUUAGCUAGUUGGUGAGGUAACGGCUCACCAAGGCGACGAUACAUAGCCGACCUGAGAGGGUGAUCGGCCACACUGGGACUGAGACACGGCCCAGACGCCUACGGGAGGCAGCAGUAGGGAAUCUUCGGCAAUGGGGGCAACCCUGACCGAGCAACGCCGCGUGAGUGAAGAAGGUUUUCGGAUCGUAAAGCUCUGUUGUAAGAGAAGAACGAGUGUGAGAGUGGAAAGUUCACACUGUGACGGUAACUUACCAGAAAGGGACGGCUAACUACGUG